CGAGACAAGGGUAAAUCCGCCGUGAGGUGGAGACACAAAGCUUCCGGUCCCGGGCUGUUCCGGGAUAGCGGGGCUGCCGCUG
rnacentral:ncRNA from 1 species